rnacentral:rRNA from 1 species
UACGUAGGCAGCGAGCGUUGUUCGGAGUUACUGGGCGUAAAGGGUGCGUAGGUGGUUAGGUAAGUCCGAUGUGAAAUCUCCAGGCUCAACCUGGAAAUGGCAUUGGAUACUAUUUAGCUUGAGGAGUGGAGGGGGGACUGGAAUUCUCGGUGUAGCAGUGAAAUGCGUAGAUAUCGAGAGGAACACCAGUGGCGAAGGCGAGUCCCUGGACACUUCCUGACACUGAGGCACGAAAGCUAGGGGAGCAAACAGG